rnacentral:rRNA from 1 species
CCUACGGGGGGCUGCAGUGGGGAAUAUUGGACAAUGGGCGAAAGCCUGAUCCAGCCAUGCCGCGUGUGUGAAGAAGGCCUUUUGGUUGUAAAGCACUUUAAGCGAGGAGGAGGCUACUUAGAUUAAUACUCUAGGAUAGUGGACGUUACUCGCAGAAUAAGCACCGGCUAACUCUGUGCCAGCAGCCGCGGUAAUACAGAGGGUGCGAGCGUUAAUCGGCUUUACUGGGCGUAAUGCGUGCGUGGAUGGGAAAUCCCUGAGCGUAACUUAGGAAAUGCAUUCGAUACUGGGAAGCUAGAGUAUGGGAGAGGAUGGUAGAAUUCCAGGUGUAGCGGUGAAAUGCGUAGAGAUCUGGAGGAAUACCGAUGGCGAAGGCAGCCAUCUGGCCUAAUACUGACGCUGAGGUACGAAAGCAUGGGGAGCAAACAGGAUUAGAUACCCUAGUAGUC